AUUGAACGCUGGCGGCAGGCCUAACACAUGCAAGUCGAGCGAGCGGCGGACGGGUGAGUAAUGUAUGGGGACUGCCCGAUAGAGGGGGCUGACUGCUGGAAACGGUGGCUAAUACCGCCUACUACCCGUUCACCCACAUGGUAUGAGCUAGUAGGUGGGGUAAAGGCGCACCUAGGCGACGAUCCCUAGCUGGGCUGAGAGGCUGAUCAGCCACACUGGGACUGAGACACGGCCCAGACGCCUACGGAGGCAGCAGUGGGGAAUAUUGAGCAAUGGGCGCAAGCCUGAUGCAGCCAUGCCGCGUGUAUGAAGAAGGCCUUAGGGUUGUAAAGUACUUUCAGCGGGGAAGCGUUACCGACAGAGAAAGCACCGGCUAACUCCGUGCCAGCAGCCGCGGUAAUUC
rnacentral:rRNA from 1 species